UGGGUCAGCGACUUAUAUUCUGUAGCAAGGUUAACCGUAUAGGGGAGCCGCAGGGAAACCGAGUCUUAACCGGGCGUUAAGUUGCAGGGUAUAGACCCGAAACCCGGUGAUCUAGCCAUGGGCAGGUUGAAGGUUGGGUAACACUAACUGGAGGACCGAACCGACUAAUGUUGAAAAAUUAGCGGAUGACCUGUGGCUGGGGGUGAAAGGCCAAUCAAACCGGGAGAUAGCUGGUUCUCCCCGAAAGCUAUUUAGGUAGCGCCUCGUGAAUUCAUCUCCGGGGGUAGAGCACUGUUUCGGCUAGGGGGCCAUCCCGGCUUACCAACCCGAUGCAAACUGCGAAUACCGGAGAAUGUUAUCACGGGAGACACACGGCGGGUGCUAACGUCCGUCGUGAAGAGGGAAACAACCCAGACCGCCAGCUAAGGUCCCAAAGUCAUGGUUAAGUGGGAAACGAUGUGGGAAGGCCCAGACAGCCAGGAUGUUGGCUUAGAAGCAGCCAUCAUUUAAAGAAAGCGUAAUAGCUCACUGGUCGAGUCGGCCUGCGCGGAAGAUGUAACGGGGCUAAACCAU
rnacentral:rRNA from 1 species